rnacentral:pre_miRNA from 1 species
AUGUAGGGCAAUCUGUCUUUAAGUAGGGAUGAAAGACUCUAAAAACAUCCUGGAGAGUUCUCCCUGGACGCCAAGCAUGGAGU